rnacentral:rRNA from 1 species
UACGUAGGGGGCUAGCGUUGUCCGGAUUUAUUGGGCGUAAAGCGCGUGUAGGCGGCCAGAUAGGUCUGCUGUGAAAACUCGAGGCUCAACCUCGAGCUGUCGGCGGAAACCAUCUGGCUAGAGUCCGGAAGAGGAGAGUGGAAUUCCCGGUGUAGCGGUGAAAUGCGCAGAUAUCAGGAAGAACACCCGUGGCGAAGGCGGCUCUCUGGGACGGUACUGACGCUGAGACGCGAAAGCGUGGGGAGCGAACAGG